AGUGAACGCUGGCGGUAGGCCUAACACAUGCAAGUCGAACGGCAGCACAGUAAGAGCUUGCCCUUACGGGUGGCGAGUGGCGGACGGGUGAGGAAUACAUCGGAAUCUACUUUUUCGUGGGGGAUAACGUAGGGAAACUUACGCUAAUACCGCAUACGACCUACGGGUGAAAGCAGGGGAUCUUCGGACCUUCGGCGAUUGAAUGAGCGGAUGUCGGAUUAGCUAGUUGGCGGGGUAAAGGCCCACCAAGGCGACGAUCCGUAGCUGGUCUGAGAGGAUGAUCAGCCACACUGGAACUGAGACACGGUCCAGACUCCUACGGGAGGCAGCAGUGGGGAAUAUUGGACAAUGGGCGCAAGCCUGAUCCAGCCAUACCGCGUGGGUGAAGAAGGCCUUCGGGUUGUAAAGCCCUUUUGUUGGGAAAGAAAAGCAGCAGGUUAAUACCCCGCUGUUCUGACGGUACCCAAAGAAUAAGCACCGGCUAACUUCGUG
rnacentral:rRNA from 1 species